CAGUAGCCGCGGGAAUACGGAGGGUGCAAGCGUUAAUCGGAAUUACUGGGCGUAAAGCGCACGCAGGCGGUCUGACAAGUCAGAUGUGAAAUCCCCGGGCUUAACCUGGGAACUGCAUUUGAAACUGUCAGGCUGGAGUCUUGUAGAGGGGGGUGGAAUUCCAGGUGUAGCGGUGAAAUGCGUAGAGAUCUGGAGGAAUACCGGUGGCGAAGGCGGCCCCCUGGACAAAGACUGACGCUCAGGUGCGAAAGCGUGGGGAGCAAACAGGAUUAGAGACCCCAGUAGUCCCUGUCUUUUAUAC
rnacentral:rRNA from 1 species